rfam:Azospirillum lipoferum 4B plasmid AZO_p2 complete genome
GAUCAAGCGUCUGAAGGGCAUCUGGUGGAUGCCUUGGCACUGAGAGGCGAUGAAGGACGUAGCACGUUGCGAUAAGUCACGGGGAGCCGCGAGCAGGCAUUGAUCCGUGAAUUUCCGAAUGGGGAAACCCACCGCUUCGGCGGUAUCCCAUGCUGAAUCCAUAGGCAUGGGAAGCGAACCCGGCGAACUGAAACAUCUAAGUAGCCGGAGGAAAGGACAUCAACCGAGACUCCGCUAGUAGUGGCGAGCGAACGCGGACCAGGCCAGUCAUUCGAUCUACAUAACCGGAACCGUCUGGAAAGUCGGGCCAUAGCGGGUGAUAGCCCCGUACGGAUAAACCGGAUCGAAUGCUCGAGUAGGGCGGGGCACGUGAAACCCUGUCUGAACAUGGGGGGACCACCCUCCAAGCCUAAGUACUCCUCAGUGACCGAUAGUGCACCAGUACCGUGAGGGAAAGGUGAAAAGCACCCCGACAAGGGGAGUGAAACAGUUCCUGAAACCGGAUGCCUACAAGCAGUCGGAGCCUCUUCAUGGGGUGACGGCGUACCUUUUGUAUAAUGGGUCAGCGACUUAGAGUAUGCAGCGAGCUUAAGCCGGUAGGUGGAGGCGCAGCGAAAGCGAGUCUGAAUAGGGCGACCGAGUUGCAUGCUUUAGACCCGAAACCUGAUGAUCUAGCCAUGGGCAGGUUGAAGGUGCGGUAACACGCACUGGAGGACCGAACUCACGCCUGUUGAAAAAGUCGGAGAUGACCUGUGGCUAGGGGUGAAAGGCCAAUCAAAUCAGGAAAUAGCUGGUUCUCCGCGAAAGCUAUUUAGGUAGCGCGUCGCGUAUUGCCGCGGGGGGUAGAGCACUGGAUGGGCUAGGGGGGCGCGAGCCUUACCAAACCUAACCAAACUCCGAAUACCCGUGAGCAGAGCGCGGCAGACAGACGGUGGGUGCUAAGGUCCAUCGUCGAGAGGGAAACAGCCCAGACCGCCAGCUAAGGUCCCCAAAUCACGGCUAAGUGGGAAAGGAUGUGGGAAGGCCAUGACAACCAGGAGGUUGGCUUAGAAGCAGCCAUCCUUUAAAGAAAGCGUAAUAGCUCACUGGUCUAGUUAAGCCGGCCUGCGCCGAAAAUGUAUCGGGGCUCAAGCCGUGUACCGAAGCUGCGGAUUCAGAGGACGGAUGACAGAGGACGGAGGACAGAAAGGCAGUGGAUCGGAACGUGCUGUAGGCUCGUUCGACGAUCUCGUGGUGUUCCAGCGCGCUUAUGCGGUGUCGUUGGAUGUCCACCGCGCCAGUCUGUCCUUCCCACGGAUCGAACAGUUCGGCUUGGCGGAUCAAAUCCGCCGUGCCAGCAAGUCGAUCUGUGCCAAUGUCGCCGAAGGAUACGGAAAGCACACCCAGUCUCCAGCCGAGUUCAAGCGGUUCCUAGGGAUCGCCAUGGGUUCGGCGGAUGAAAUGCAGGUGUGGCUGCGUUAUUGCCGUGAUCUCGAUUACAUCAGUGUCGAGACAUGGCAAAGGUGGCAGGACGAAUGCAAGACGAUAGCUCGCAUGCUGAACUCCCUGCAUCGCAACUGGCGAUGAGAGGGUUUCCAGCGAUGAAACUAUCCGUCCUCUGUCUUCUGUCAUCCGUCUUCUGAGUGGUAGCGGAGCGUUCCGUAAGCCUGCGAAGGGUGUCCGUGAGGCCGCCUGGAGGUAUCGGAAGUGAGAAUGCUGACAUGAGUAGCGACAAACAGUGUGAGAAACACUGUCGCCGAAAGUCCAAGGGUUCCUGCGCAAGGUUAAUCCACGCAGGGUGAGCCGGCCCCUAAGGCGAGGCCGAAAGGCGUAGUCGAUGGGAACCAGGUUAAUAGUCCUGGGCCUGGCGGAGGUGACGGAUGGGAAAGCGUGUAUGUCCUUAUCGGAUUGGACAUGCUGUGGACCUGUUCCAGGAAAUAGCCCCGCCGUAUAGACCGUACCCCAAACCGACACAGGUGGACUGGUAGAGUAUACCCAGGCGCUUGAGAGAAUGGUGUUGAAGGAACUCGGCAAAUUGCCCUCGUAACUUCGGAAGAAGAGGGCCCCGUUGUGGCGCAAGCCAUGGCGGGGGGCACAGACCAGGGGGUAGCGACUGUUUACUAAAAACACAGGGCUCUGCGAAGCCACACAAGGCGACGUAUAGGGUCUGACGCCUGCCCGGUGCCGGAAGGUUAAGAGGAGAGGUGCAAGCCUUGAAUUGAAGCCCCGGUAAACGGCGGCCGUAACUAUAACGGUCCUAAGGUAGCGAAAUUCCUUGUCGGGUAAGUUCCGACCUGCACGAAUGGCGUAACGACUUCCCCGCUGUCUCCAACACCAACUCAGCGAAAUUGAACUCUCCGUGAAGAUGCGGAGUUCCCGCGGUCAGACGGAAAGACCCCGUGCACCUUUACUACAGCUUUGCAGUGGUGCUAGGGACUUCAUGUGUAGGAUAGGUGGGAGGCUUGGAAGCCUGGGCGCCAGCCCGGGUGGAGCCAACCUUGAAAUACCACCCUUGAAGUCUCUGGCAUCUAACCGUGGCCCGUGAUCCGGGUCCGGGACCCUGCAUGGCGGGUAGUUUGACUGGGGCGGUCGCCUCCCAAAGUGUAACGGAGGCGCGCGAUGGUGGGCUCAGAGCGGUCGGAAAUCGCUCGUCGAGUGCAAUGGCAUAAGCCCGCCUGACUGCAAGACUGACAAGUCGAGCAGAGACGAAAGUCGGCCAUAGUGAUCCGGUGGCUCCACGUGGACGGGCCAUCGCUCAACGGAUAAAAGGUACGCCGGGGAUAACAGGCUGAUGACUCCCAAGAGUCCAUAUCGACGGAGUCGUUUGGCACCUCGAUGUCGGCUCAUCACAUCCUGGGGCUGGAGCAGGUCCCAAGGGUUCGGCUGUUCGCCGAUUAAAGUGGUACGUGAGCUGGGUUUAGAACGUCGUGAGACAGUUCGGUCCCUAUCUGCCGUGGGUGUCGGAGUUUUGCGAGGAUCUGUCCCUAGUACGAGAGGACCGGGAUGGACAUACCUCUGGUGCACCGGUUGUCACGCCAGUGGCAUGGCCGGGUAGCUAAGUAUGGACGGGAUAACCGCUGAAAGCAUCUAAGCGGGAAACCCACCUCUAAACCAGAGCUCCCUUGAGAGCCGUGACAGACCAUCACGUCGAUAGGAGGCAUGUGGAAGGGCGGCAACGCCUGAAGCUAAGCCUUACUAAUCGCUCGAUCGGCUUGAUCUC